UCUACCAUGAGAAUAACAUGUCUUGUGGAGCUCUGGGUCCCAGAAUGAGGAAAUGUGUACAGCAAGCCUGAAACCAACCUGCAGCCUGCGGCCUAGCCCAGCCAAAUUGCUGCCUGAAGCAGAGAUGUCCUGAGACAAUCCCCUUUCAGCCAUCAGAGGUUGGAGUGAGGGACUCAUGCUGUGAAGUGUUUCUGAAGAGCCCCAGUAGAUUCAAGAUCAUCUCAAAAGUCGACGUUUGAGGAACUUUGUGAACGGAGGCCUGGGCUAGCUGGUCUCUUGUUGCCCCUUGUGAAAUGGGAUGCCUGCUUCUGCUUCUGAGAGUGAUGAGAAAAAACUCAGACUCAAGGAGGAUGCGUAAACUGCUCAAGGUUACACGGUGACUGUCAUCCAGUUCUUUUCACAGAAGAACCUUUGUUCACUGUGUCCA